AAUGAACGCUGGCGGUAGGCUUAACACAUGCAAGUCGGACGGUAGCAGGAAAUAAGUUUACUUAUUUUGCUGACGAGUGGCGGACGGGUGAGUAACGCGUGGGAAUCUACCCUAUAGUUGGGGACAACGUAUGGAAACGUACGCUAAUACCGAAUACGCUCUACGGAGUAAAGGAGCCCUCUUCAUGAAAGGUUUCGCUAUAGGAUGAGCCCGCGUAAGAUUAGCUAGUUGGUGAGGUAAUGGCUCACCAAGGCGACGAUCUUUAGCUGGUUUGAGAGGAUGAUCAGCCACACUGGGACUGAGACACGGCCCAGACUCCUACGGGAGGCAGCAGUGGGGAAUAUUGGAUAAUGGACGAAAGUCUGAUCCAGCCAUACCGCGUGUGUGAAGAAGGCCUUCGGGUUGUAAAGCACUUUCAGUUGGGAGGAAGAUUAAGUAGUUAAUACCUGCUUAGUUUGACGUUACCUUCAGAAGAAGCACCGGCUAACUCUGU
rnacentral:rRNA from 1 species